GGUGAAGGGCUGUGGCUCAGUAGGAGAGCAUCUGCUUUGCAUGCAGAAUGCUCCAGGUUUGAUUCCCCAGUAUUACCU